UGGGCUCUGAGAGGUGCAUCUUCUGGCUCA
rnacentral:piRNA from 1 species